rnacentral:lncRNA from 10 species
GAGGAUAAAGAACAAAUUACUUGGCCUAGCCCUCAAAGCCUGCACAUUCACAAUCCUCAUGGACAGAAGUGGAUACAGGCUCAGAGGCCAGAGGUACUAACCGAGACCACACGAUUCAGCUGGUCACCGUGUCUUCCCGGAACCUGCACGAUUCAGACCAAAGCUGUCUCUGGGGUUGGCGUGUGUUCCCCAAAGAGGAAACGUCUCCAUGAAUUUGGUACUCUAGGCACUUCGCUGGACUCAUCUUAACUCCGGCCCUGUAAAGGAAAGAAGUGAAAGUCACCCCUUUUCACAGCCUGUUCACCCACACCCACCUAGGUCUUCUAGGUGAUCAGACAUGGGUCCUGCUCUCCAGGAGCUGCCAAUCCGAUGGAGGAGGCUGACCCUUAAACAAAAUCACGACCGUCAGAGACAAGAGCAAACAGUGCGGGCAAAAGGAGAGCCCAGAUGGAGGGGCCCGUGGGCCUUCAGGUGGCGCCCUUGAGCCACGGAGCCGCAAGCGCCCGAGGAGACCGUCCCGACCUAAGGACCUCGGAGAGGACCCGGGGUCCUACCUGGGGGCUGC